UGGGGAAUAUUGCACAAUGGGCGCAAGCCUGAUGCAGCCAUGCCGCGUGUAUGAAGAAGGCCUUCGGGUUGUAAAGUACUUUCAGUCGGGAGGAAGGUGUCAAGGUUAAUAACCUUGGCAAUUGACGUUACCGACAGAAGAAGCACCGGCUAACUCCGUGCCAGCAGCCGCGGUAAUACGGAGGGUGCAAGCGUUAAUCGGAAUUACUGGGCGUAAAGCGCACGCAGGCGGUUGAUUGAGUCAGAUGUGAAAUCCCCGGGCUUAACCCGGGAAUUGCAUCUGAUACUGGUCAGCUAGAGUCUUGUAGAGGGGGGUAGAAUUCCAUGUGUAGCGGUGAAAUGCGUAGCGAUGUGGAGGAAUACCGGUGGCGAAGGCGGCCCCCUGGACAAAGACUGACGCUCAGGUGCGAAAGCGUGGGGAGCAAACAGG
rnacentral:rRNA from 1 species